rnacentral:misc_RNA from 1 species
GAUGAAGAACGUAGCGAAAUGCGAUAAGUAAUGUGAAUUGCAGAAUUCAGUGAAUCAUCGAAUCUUUGAACGCACAUUGCGCCCGCCAGCAUUCUGGCGGGCAUGCCUGUUCGAGCGUCAUUUCAACCCUCGCAGCCCAUCUGGGCAGCGGUGUUGGGGACCGGCACCACCGGCGAAGCCCUUAGGGGCCCAGCCGGCGCCGCCCCCGAAAUACAGUGGCGGUCUCGCUGCAGCCUCCCUUGCGUAGUAGCACACCUCGCACCGGAGCGCAGCGCGGCCACGCCGUAAAACCCCCGACUUUCUGAGUUUGACCUCGAAUCAGGUAGGAAUACCUGCUGAACUUAAGCAUAUCAAUAAGCGGAGGA